rnacentral:tRNA from 1 species
AAGCCUUAGUAAAUAUUUACUCCUUUAGAAUUGCAGUCUAAUAUCAUUAUUGACUAUAAAGCC